AGUGGGAUAGUUGGAUCAAAUUGUGGUUCCAUUCCAAGUUUUCUGAGGAAUUUCCAUAAUUCUUUCCAGAGUGAUUGCAUCAAUUUGCAUUACCACCAGCAAU
rnacentral:pre_miRNA from 1 species